rnacentral:lncRNA from 1 species
CCCAAUCACCACCAACAUCUUCUUCAUCUUCAUCAACAGCCCCUCCUCUGGCUGCACUCUCAAGUCCGCCUUCAAAUAUUCCCUUCAUCACUCUUAGAAGAGGCCAAUCACCACCACACAUGACGGGAGAUGGUGGCAUUAGAAGCGAUGGAGUCUUCCCCUCAGGUAACGAGGGCACGUUGUCUCCUAGCUCAGUCGCAAGUCGCUCAGCAGUGUCCGUUAAACCAUGAACCGAAGCAGUGAUAUAAGCGAGAGGCAAAUGACCAGCAUUCUCAAGUAUCUUGACACGCUCUUUAACAUCUCCUAGGUAGAGAGCAUUGUGAAACUGACCCAUUACAUUGUUCUUCACUUCUGCAAUCUUCAUCAACUUCGAAAGCUUGUCCAACUUACCAGUAAUGAAGUAAAGAAAAGAUAACCUCUCAAAGUUCUUCGUCUGCUGGUACGCAAAUUCAACAAUUCCAGCAUUACCUUGGCGAAGAGACUCCACCCCAAGUCUAUACCACUGCUCUUUCUCAUUAAUCUCUGUAGCGGAUGCAACAGCGACGCUGAUGUUGCCACUUUCAAGAGCCAGGUUGAAUCGGACUCUCUCGUCUUCAACAAAAUGGAGGGCAACUUCAGGAAACCCUUUCUGCCGCAGGUAAGCAAUCAUAGCCUGUCCACAUAACUGGGAGUUCUUUAUCAUGCUCAUGACAUGAUCAUAUCUCUUUCUCAGCAGUGCAAGCUUGAAAAUGUAUUCAGUUGCAUUGAUGGUGAUUGCCCUGUUUUUCCCAUCCCGGUCCAAGCAAAAGAUUGUGUUUCCAGAAACCUUGGUGAUAUAGAUAGGGACAUCCAGGGUUCGGAUUAUCCCACUAUCUCCAUUAGGAAGACAGUACUUGAUAUGGUUCAAAGUUGUGUAGAUGAAGACACCAUUGUCAUCCCAAGCUCCACUCUUCACACGUAUUGUCUCAUGAAGUGUGCACUGGAGGACAAGUUUUUUGCUCGCAAUAAUGAUAGUGUGUUUGCUGAGCAAAGCAACAUUCUCCAUAUCAUUAGACCAAACAACAUACCUAACAAACGGUGUCUGAAGUUCACCAAGAACAAGCCUUUGUUGAAGGUCAAAUAUCACCACUUUAUCCUCUGAUCUACAAAGCAAAUUUCCAGUCCCAGCAUAAAAGAUAGCAUCUGUGGGUAUAGGCAGAGAACUCUUCUUAACCACCUCAUUCUUGAGAUUCUUGACUAGCACCUGGCUGGUGUUUUUCUCAAGAACAGCAAACCGGUUACGGGCAAUGAAUACCGCAGAACCACCUGUCCCCCUCUUUGCAUCUUGCACAACGUCACUUCUGCCAACACUAUCUUUCGGUAUGAUGUACAACUCGUAAGAACCACCAUCCAAAUCUGAGCAGAUCAAAACCGCAUUUUCCGUCGGACUGUAUGAUAGAGUCCUUGGACUUUGAUUCAAGCUUGGAGUACCAGGACGCCGUAUAGGGAUAACUUGGGAAUCUUUCUGAGUUGAACAAUCGUAGUACCUCAAAAAUCUAUCUUUGGUAUAGAACAAAGAAUUGCCACUCAAAGCAAAUGCAGGACGUUCUCUCUCAAGCUUGAAGACGAUCAUACCGUUGUCAUGCCCCGCUGCCAGUAAAUUAAUCUCAGGGUGAACUGCAAGAAUCCAGAAACGAUCAUGUUCACGGCGAAAAGUUUGGAUUCCAGUUCGCUUGGUAGCAUCCCAGACACGAAUGCUUUUAUCCUCAGAGUUGGAAACAAUAAUGUCCUGUUUUGCAUGGAACAUAACAGAUGAAACAUUAUUCAUGUGGCCUCGCAGUGUAUCCACCUCCCAAGCUUUAGUUUCUGCAAUAAAAUUGAAAAGAACGCGUUAAUGACAUCAGCUCCACUACUACAGAAAUUGCAAUUUAGUGUACAAACAAUGGUUUUAAACAAAAAAACAGAGAGAGGGAGAGAGAGAGACUUCCGGAAUGGAAUUACCAUUCAUACGCCACAGCUUCACUUGGCGGUCAUCUGCACCAGAGACGAUGAGAGGAAGAGUGGGAUGAAAGGAAGCCCAGUUUACUCCUCUAUCAUGACCUUCGAGGACGUACUUAACAAUAGCAUCAACACCACCGAAAAGAUCAGAGUUCAUCUGUGUGAAUCGCAUGAGGUCAUCAGCAGGAGACACUGUCUUCUUCUUAAGAGAACCAAUAUCCCAGACACGGACAGUCUGAUCCAGAGAUGCAGAGACGACAAGGUCUUCUUUAGGAUGGAAAGAAGCACACAUGACAUAAUGAUUGUGGCCAGUAAGCACGGAGAUACAAGUCCGAGACUGCCAGUUCCAAAUGCGGAUAGUCUGAUCGUCACUAGCACUCACAAUCCAGGGGUUCUCGUGGUGGAAUUGGACAGUGCGGAUGUAGUCGAGAUGGCCGAGAAGAGUGAAAAGGCACCUGUGNNNNNNNNNNNNNNNNNNNNNNNNNAAUUGAUCACCGGACCUGAGACGGAGAGCAUAUCAAACCAGAUGCGUCUGCGCCAAUGACUGCAAGAUCACAGACCCCGCAUAUGUUUCCUUCCUGGCUCGGUACAAACCUGGCGGUGCAGUACGGACAGGAAACGUCUUUCUGACCUCUGUAGAUUGGGACAUAGGUUGACCCGCAUAUCAAAAACGGGUUUCUGAAGUCGUAGUUGAGCUCGGUUGCAUCAGUCAUAUUGCGUUCAGCGGCUUGAACGAUUUGUCUAGCCGCUCUGGCAUGGCUCUCCAAUGGGUUGGUUUCCAGCAAUCUUUUAGCGAAGUUAUAGGCAGUGGCGAGAUUCUUGGCCUUGUAGCAGACGGUCAUUGCAUUUAACAGCGCGAGUCGUAAGUGAGGUAGUUGGAGGUUGCAGUGAGUGAAGUAAGCAGCAAGCUCCUGCUGCCUCACUGGAUCAUCUUUCUUCUGUCUUCUCUUGAGCUCCAUUUUAAGACCGAGGACAUAUUCUUUAGCGAUACUGACCAGUUUCUUAACCUCAUCUACUUCACUUCUUGACUCGACCACCACAAGAGGGAUGGUGUGGAGGAUAGAGAGGAAGAGCCGGAGAGCCUCAGUCAAUUUCUCAUCUUUCCCACUUGUUGUGGCUUUGUAGCCGGACUUGAGCUUCUCUUCUUGCUGAGAGAAACCAUAGAGAAGAGCUGGUGGGCCACGGACGUUGGGACUGUUUGACUCGCUCCAUCCACGCUCAAUGGCAAGUGGGACCACAGGAGAUGAUGAAAAAGCACGCAGAUAGCUUUGGCUGCUACUGAACAAAUCAAUAAACAUCGAUUUCAAGGGGGCAAAGUUCUUUAUUCCAAGCUGUCUGUUGAGCAGACGCAUUGCAGUGUCGAAGCUUCCAGCUGCAGCUUGCUCAGCAGCAAGAGAAGAUUUCUGGCUCCAAAUAUGGCUUACGGGCAUACCUUGAGUAGGUGUCACGAAGACGGACGAACGUGCGUUAGCAGAGGCCUUAGGAGUGUCAAGCUCUGGUGGGAGGUCCAAGCCCUCAAGUUCACCCCAUCCACCUUCUUCAUCAUUAUCUUCUUCCGCUCCUUCUGCUUCCGCCAAAAUGGCUUCGAUGUCUCUGUUCUCCAUUCCAUCAACAUCGACCAUGUCAAGUCCCUCACCCCAAUCACCACCAGCAUCUUCUUCAUCUUCAUCAACAGCCCCUCCUCUGGCUGCACUCUCAAGUCCGCCUUCAAAUAUUCCCUUCAUCACUCUUAGAAGAGGCCAAUCACCACCACACAUGACGGGAGAUGGUGGCAUUAGAAGCGAUGGAGUCUUCCCCUCAGGUAACGAGGGCACGUUGUCUCCUAGCUCAGUCGCAAGUCGCUCAGCAGUGUCCGUUAAACCAUGAACCGAAGCAGUGAUAUAAGCGAGAGGCAAAUGACCAGCAUUCUCAAGCCCAGAACCGAUCAUGUUCACGGCGAAAUGUUUGGAUUCCAGUUCGCUUGGUAGCAUCCCAGACACGAAUACUUUUGUCCUCAGAGUUGGAUACAAUUAUGUCCUGUUUUGCAUGGAACAUAACAGACGAAACGUUAUUCAUGUGACCUCGCCGAAAGCUUGUCCAACUUACCAGUAAUGAAGUAAAGAAAAGAUAACCUCUCAAAGUUCUUCGUCUGCUGGUACGCAAAUUCAACAAUUCCAGCAUUACCUUGGCGAAGAGACUCCACCCCAAGUCUAUACCACUGCUCUUUCUCAUUAAUCUCUGUAGCGGAUGCAACAGCGACGCUGAUGUUGCCACUUUCAAGAGCCAGGUUGAAUCGGACUCUCUCGUCUUCAACAAAAUGGAGGGCAACUUCAGGGAAUCCUUUCUGCUGCAGGUAAGCAAUCAUAGCCUGUCCACAGAGCUGGGAGUUCUUUAUCAUGCUCAUGACAUGAUCAUAUCUCUUUCUCAGCAGUGCAAGCUUGAAAAUGUAUUCAGUUGCAUUGAUGGUGAUUGCCCUGUUUUUCCCAUCCCGGUCCAAGCAAAAGAUUGUGUUUCCAGAAACCUUGGUGAUAUAGAUAGGGACAUCCAGGGUUCGGAUUAUCCCACUAUCUCCAUUAGGAAGACAGUACUUGAUAUGGUUCAAAGUUGUGUAGAUGAAGACACCAUUGUCAUCCCAAGCUCCACUCUUCACACGUAUUGUCUCAUGAAGUGUGCACUGGAGGACAAGUUUUUUGCUCGCAAUAAUGAUAGUGUGUUUGCUGAGCAAAGCAACAUUCUCCAUAUCAUUGGACCAAACAACAUACCUAACAAACGGUGUCUGAAGUUCACCAAGAACAAGCCUUUGCUGAAGGUCAAAUAUUACCACUUUAUCCUCUGAUCUACAAAGCAAAUUUCCAGUCCCAGCAUAAAAGAUAGCAUCUGUGGGUAUAGGCAGAGAACUCUUCUUAACCACCUCAUUCUUGAGAUUCUUGACUAGCACCUGGCUGGUGCUUUUCUCAAGAACAGCAAAGCGAUUACGGGCAAUGAAUACAGCAGAACCACCUGUCCCCCUCUUUGCAUCUUGCACAACGUCACUCCUGCCAACACUAUCUUUCGGUAUGAUGUACAACUCGUACGAACCACCAUCCAGAUCUGAGCAGAUCAGAACUGCAUUUUCUGUCGGACUGUAUGAUAGAGUCCUUGGACUUUGAUUCAAGCUUGGUGUACCAGGACGCCGUAUAGGGAUAACUUGGGCAUCUUUCUGAGUUGAAUAUUCGUAGUACCUCAAAAAUCUAUCUUUGGCAUAGAACAGAGAAUCACCACUCACAGCAAACGCAGGACGUUCUCUCUCAAGUUUGAACACGAUCAUACCAUUGUCAUGCCCCGCUGCCAGUAAAUUGAUCUCAGGGUGAACUGCAAGAACCCAGAACCGAUCAUGUUCACGGCGAAAUGUUUGGAUUCCAGUUCGCUUGGUAGCAUCCCAGACACGAAUACUUUUGUCCUCAGAGUUGGAUACAAUUAUGUCCUGUUUUGCAUGGAACAUAACAGACGAAACGUUAUUCAUGUGACCUCGCAGUGUAUCCACCUCCCAAGCUUUAGUUUCUGCAAUAAAAUUGAAAAGAACGCAUUAAUUACAUCAGCUCCGCCAUUAUAAGAACUGCAGUUUAGUGUCCAAAUGAAGGUUUAUAAAAAAAAAAAGAGAGACUUCGAAAGUAAAAAUACCAUUCAUACGCCACAGCUUCACUUGGCGGUCAUCUGCACCAGAGACGAUGAGAGGAAGAGUGGGAUGAAAAGAAGCCCAGUUAACUCCUCUAUCAUGACCUUCGAGGACAUACUUAACAAUAGCGUCAACACCACCAAAAAGAUCAGAGUUCAUCUGUGUAAAUCGCAUGAGGUCAUCAGCAGGAGAUACUGUCUUCUUCUUAAGGGAAGCAAUAUCCCAGACACGGACCGUCUGAUCCAAAGAUGCUGAUACGACCAGGUCUUCUUUUGGAUGGAAAGAAGCACACAUGACAUAAUGAUUGUGGCCAGUCAACACAGAUAUACAAGUCCGUGACUGCCAGUUCCAAAUGCGGAUAGUCUGAUCGUCACUAGCACUCACAAUCCAUGGGUUCUCGUGGUGAAAUUGGACUGUGCGGAUAUAGUCGAGAUGGCCGAGAAGGGUGAAAAGGCACCUGUGUGUUUUGUGGUUCCAAACUUUAAUCUUGUAAUCAUCACCUGCAAACACACAUUGUUGUCAAUGCCACCAACUACAUAUGAGUAAUCUUCUUGAAGAGGAAUAGGAUAUAGUCGUAAAGAAGAAGAAUCCAAGAGAAUUGCAUUUACAUGGUUUCAUUCUUUCUUAUCAAAACACACUACUAAGCACACCUAACAUGAGAUCUAAUUCAGUCCAAUUAUCCAGAAACCAUAUCUUAUGCAAAAAAAAAUAAAACUUAUGAUAAGCAUUUAUCACUGCAUGGACUACAUGGACUACAUGGGAUCCAGUAAACCAAGGAAAAUCAACAAACAAUCCUCUUCAAAGACAUCAAGCUAGAUCUAUAAAUCAAGAACACUACUGAGCAGACUGUUCACGGUAUUAUAUAUAUAUGAUAUUUUUAUAAAUGCGGACUUGUAGCUCAAAGGUAAUGUCGAGAACAAAGAAUGAUACCUCCGGAGACGAAGAGAGGCUGAGAAUUGUGAAAGUGAACACCACGAACUGGACCUUCGUGCUCGUCGAACCGAUCGAUUAAAGUACCCAUACGAUAAUCCCAGAGCUGGAUCACACCACUGUGCAAGCUGGCGAGGAUCCAUGGUCGCUUAGGGUGGAAGGUGAGGCCCUUAACUCUGUUACUCUUCGUCUCAAAUUUCGUCAACAUAAUUUCCCAGAUCUCAGCUCUACACAAUCUAGAAUGAAAACAGUCAGUUUCAGGGAAAACCAAACCUAAGAGGGAAAUUUAAGACAGGAAACAUGGAUAGACUAGAAAUCCUACUGUGGAUUCGAAGAAGAACGGGUAAACAAAGACCUAGGAGAUGAUCACGAAUGAAGAAGGAUCAACUCGGAAGUCAGAGUUCGUAUGUAAAGCUCUUUGUAUGAACUGAUUGCUUGAGAGAUAAGUAAUCGUUUGAAGAAGAUGGUUUAUUUUGAUUUAUAUAAGAAAUCACAGAGAAUAUUAAAACCUAAUGAGAAAAGGAAAAAUAAAAGAUAAUGAUAAACUCAUAAGAAAAAAAAGGAAAACUAAAGCUUUGUGACUUAUCUCUUAAUUAUUUUUAAUACUUUUUAAGUAGUAAAUAUGAGCUAAGAGACUUGUUAAGAGAUUUCAAUAUUUAAGUGCUCCAAUGCAAGUUUCUUAAUUAAAGAUUCUUAAAAAAAUAUAUGAAAAGGAAGAACAUGAGAAGGAGAAGGAAGAACAAAGGCUUCUUGUGAAUUAACUUUCAUUACAUGGGAUGAAUACCCAUUCACGUUAAACAACUCAAACCUCAUCCGCAUCAAAACAUCUUAAGAUUUAACAAGGAAGAGAUGGAGACUGUUUUGCAAUAUUACCUGUCCCUUUAAAUUAGCUGCAGUUUGAGUUCCAACUUCGAGUGUUUGCUCUACCACCUGAAAGGAACAAGAAUGUUACCAAAGAUGAUAUAGUAACAAUGGCUGAAAGGAGCACACUUCUUUUCUGUAACUUACCUGUUUAGAGUGCUCAAUGGCUUGAUCGGUCUCAUCCAUUCUUUUCAUUCCAGCAUCAACAAACUCCUGGUUUGACAUAGCUAUCUAUACAUAAAAAGACAUAAGUGCCAUGCCUUUACUGGGUUUCACAUUCCCAAAAUAAUCUACUUCAUGCCAAGUUCAAACAUGAUAUUUUCAUUAAGACAGACCUAUGCCUCAAUCUCGGAAUAAUACAGAUGAAGAACAAGUUGGAUAUAAUAAUCUAGAAAUUAUACUAGACUACUAACCUAAGAGCAUAAGUUACUAGUCCAGUAAAUUAAAGUAAAAAUAGCAUCAAUGAGUCUAAGAAGUCAAUCUCAUGAUGUUCUAGGCAAGCUCAUAACACUUGGUAUCAAUUAAAUUGACAAGUAUGCGUAAGGACUCUCACAUGAAGCCAUUUGAACAUUUUCUUCAGCUGCAGAUUCGCCACUGCUUUGCUUUGUCUAGUUGAAUCCUUGAUCUUAUCCAACUUUUGGAAACCAUUCCUGCAAAAGAAAAACAGAUAAUGAUAUGUGAAUCUUUCGUCUUCAAUCUUUUCAGGUGACACCUCUAUCUAUCUCUUAUACUCAUCAAACAAAAACACACAUUAAUCCAAAAUAAUAAGCACUUAAAUUCUAACCACCAAAUCUUUAUUUACUCUCAUAUGAGAUUCAGUGAUACUCAAACAUAUCACAGUGCUCUCUGUAACCAAUAUAGAGAGAGAAUGAAACCAUACGCGAGGGCUCGAAAAUGGUCACGGAUUUCACCAUGGAUCUGCUCUAAUCGAGGGCUCAUCGGGCGAUUCGAAGCCAUGUCGCCGGAGAAUCUGAGAUUCCGACGAUAACCAAACUGGAACCCUCCUCAGCCGGCGAACCCUUCACAGAAAUAUCUACCGUGGAACAAAAGCAGCACCGUAUCAAAACAAAAUCAAAAACCUUAGCUUGACGAGAAGUAAAGGUUGGGACUUUAUUUGUGAAAGACGAAACAGAGAGCCCGUCUCUUCUGUGAAGAGGAAGAAGUGAAACAACGGCAAAUGUGAUGUGAAGAAGAAGAAGCUGUAUACAAGAACCCGUAUAAGGUAAUUGCUAUUUCCUUUUUUUUUAAUGAUGCUCUAAGUCGCGUCUUAAUUACAUUCAUUUAUUUAUUUUUUCUUUUUUAUUAACUUUUUUGCAUUGAGAUAAAAAGCCUCAUGGGCUGUUACAAGGUAAAAAUUUUGAAAAAAAAAAUACAUUCCCAUUAAAUUUACAAUUUAAGUCCAUUAACCUAACCUAACAUACAAAUCAGAUUAACUUCUAAAAAUAUCCAUUCUGUUAAAAUACAAUAUUAGAACGAAUAUAUCAAAAUAUAUUUUCAAUAGUUAAUUUUGAAUAUGAAUAGCUUAUAUAGUUUGUGACCAAAUUUAAUAUAACAAAAACACUCUUAGAAUAAAUCUAUAGAAGUAUAUUUUCAAAGCAGUUAAAAAAGCGAGAUGUAAUUUUUGGUUGAGCAAAUUUUAUAUAAUAAAAAUUAUAACUUAUGUACAUAUUUAUAUAUUUGUAUGUUUUUAUAUAAUUUAUAAGAAAAAACUGUACAAUAGUACUUAUUUUACUUAUUUUUAGGUUGGAUAAAAAUUUUGAACUUUUGAAAUACUCUUACAUAUGAUAUGUAUAAUAUUUGUCUACAUAGUUGGAAAAACAUCAAUAAAGUCAAACGCACUUAGCACAUGUAAAAAUCUCCAGUGUUACUUAAAAACACUCGCAAAAAUGUCACAGUAACGGUUUUCUCUAACAACAUAAAAAAUGCGACCAAUCGUACUACAAGCAAAAAAAUUUAUAUAUUUCAUAUAUAAAAUCUUUAAAUUUCAUAUUUUCGAUCAUUAAAAUGUUCUCUUCGUUUAAGUGGGUUUCGGUUAUUAUCACAUUCAAUGACCCAUUAAGUUUGAAAUUAAAGUUUCGUUUUUCUUUAAAUUAGCCCAUUUGAGUUGGGUUUUAAAAGCUAAUGGAGAUGUCGGAGCUAUAACUGUGUCUGAUCAGAAUGUUAAUGUGCUGCACAAUGUUUAUAUUAAUUGGAAUAAGGGAAUAGCAAAUACGCAUAAGUCAAAAUUACCAACAUCUCUGAGAAACAAAUGCAAAACAUUGCAAAACUCAGCAAAAUUCGUCUAUAUUUAUUAUUCUAUCAUCAUACUGAUCGACAUUUAAAAUCCAAAGAAACGUAAUUGAAAUGUUCUGGAGAAUGUAAAUAUAAAACCAAACAAAACAAAUUAUAGAGCAAGCUAAAGUUCUCUCAUGCGUUGUCACUAAGAUAAAGAAACAACUGAAAGACUCAAAAGAGCAACAGAACCUGCAACGAAGAAAUUCACAAAUAAGACUUUUGUAAGCGCACAAUCACAAAAACCAAAAGCUCAACAAUCUUCUUCCGUUAUUAGAGCAUCUAGUACUUACCUGACGUUUGAAGAGGAUGAUUAAUUGAUCACCGGACCUGAGACGGCGAGCAUAUCAAACCAGAUGCGUCUGCGCCAAUGACUGCAAGAUCACAGACCCCGCAUAUGUUUCCUUCCUGGCUUGGUACAAACCUGGCGGUGCAGUACGGACAGGAAACGUCUUUCUGACCUCUGUAGAUUGGGACAUAGGUUGACCCGCAUAUAACAAACGGGUUUCUGAAGUCGUAGUUGAGCUCGGUUGUAUCAGUCAUAUUGCGUUCAGCGGCUUGAACAAUUUGUCUAGCCGUCUUCGCCUGGCUCUCCACUGGGUUUGUUUCCAACAAUCUUUUGGCGAAGUUAUAGGCAGUAGCAAGGUUCUUUGACUUGUAGCAGACUCCCAUUGCACUAAACAGCGCAAGUCGUAAGUGAGGUAGUUGGAGGUUGCAGUGUGUGAAGUAAGCCGCGAGCUCCUGCUGCCUCACUGGAUCAUCUUUCGUCUCUCUUCUCUUAAGCUCCAUUUUAAGACCGAGGACAUAUUCUUUAACGAUAAUGACCAAUUCCUUAACUUCAUCGACUUCACUUCUUGACUCGACCACCACUAGAGGGAUGGUGUGGAGGAUAGAGAGAAAGAGCCGAAGAGCCUCAGUCAAUUUUCCACUUGUUGUGGCUUUGUAGCCAGAUUUGAGCUUCUCUUCUUGCUGAGAGAAAUCAUAAACAAGAGCUGGUGGGCCACGGACGUUGGGACUGUUUGACUCGCUCCAUCCACGCUCAAUGGCAAGUGGAACCACAGGAGAUGAAGAAAAAGCACGCAGGUAGCUUUGGCUGCCACUGAACAAAUCAAUAAACAUCGACUUCAAAGGGGCAAAGUUUUUUAUGCCAAGCUGUCUGUUGAGCAGACGCAUUGCAGUGUCGAAGCUUCCAGCUGCAGCUUGCUCAGCAGCAAGGGAGGAUUUCUGGCUCCAAAUAUGGCUUACGGGCAUACCUUGAGUAGGUGUCACGAAGACGGAUGAACGUGCGUUAGCAGAGGCCUUAGGAGUGUCAAGCUCUGGUGGGAGGUCCAAGCCCUCAAGUUCACCCCAUCCACCUUCUUCAUCAUUAUCUUCUUCCGCUCCUUCUGCUUCCGCCAAAAUGGCUUCGAUGUCCCUGUUCUCCAUUCCAUCAACAUCGACCAUGUCAAGUCCCUCACCCCAAUCACCACCAACAUCUUCUUCAUCUUCAUCAACAGCCCCUCCUCUGGCUGCACUCUCAAGUCCGCCUUCAAAUAUUCCCUUCAUCACUCUUAGAAGAGGCCAAUCACCACCACACAUGACGGGAGAUGGUGGCAUUAGAAGCGACGGAGUCUUCCCCUCAGGUAACGAGGGCACGUUGUCUCCUAGCUCAGUCGCAAGUCGCUCAGCAGUGUCCGUUAAACCAUGAACCGAAGCAGUGAUAUAAGCGAGAGGCAAAUGACCAGCAUUCUCAAGUAUCUUGACACGCUCUUUAACAUCUCCUAGGUAGAGAGCAUUGUGAAACUGACCCAUUACAUUGUUCUUCACUUCUGCAAUCUUCAUCAACUUUGAAAGCUUGUCCAACUUACCGGUAAUGAGGUAAAGAAAAGAUAACCUCUCAAAGUUCUUUGUCUGCUGGUACGCAAAUUCAACAAUUCCAGCAUUACCUUGGCGAAGAGCCUCCACCCCAAGUCUAUACCACUGCUCUUUCUCAUUAAUCUCUGUAGCGGAUGCAACAGCGACGCUGAUGUUGCCACUUUCAAGAGCCAGGUUGAAACGGACUCUCUCGUCUUCAACAAAAUGGAGGGCAACUUCAGGGAAUCCUUUCUGCUGCAGGUAAGCAAUCAUAGCCUGUCCACAUAGCUGGGAGUUCUUUAUCAUGCUCAUGACAUGAUCAUAUCUCUUUCUCAGCAGUGCAAGCUUGAAAAUGUAUUCAGUUGCAUUGAUGGUGAUUGCCCUG